UAAUGUGUUUGUUGCAUUGCAUUUGUGUGU
rnacentral:piRNA from 1 species